rnacentral:rRNA from 1 species
CCUACGGGGGGCAGCAGUGGGGAAUAUUGGACAAUGGGGGCAACCCUGAUCCAGCCAUGCCGCGUGUGUGAAGAAGGCCCUCGGGUUGGAAAGCACUUUCAGUGAGGAAGAACGCCUGGUGGUUAAUACCCAUCAGGAAAGACAUCACUCACAGAAGAAGCACCGGCUAACUCCGUGCCAGCAGCCGCGGUAAUACGGAGGGUGCGAGCGUUAAUCGGAAUUACUGGGCGUAAAGCGCGCGUAGGUGGCUUGAUAAGCCGGUUGUGAAAGCCCCGGGCUCAACCUGGGAACGGCAUCCGGAACUGUCAAGCUAGAGUGCAGGAGAGGAAGGUAGAAUUCCCGGUGUAGCGGUGAAAUGCGUAGAGAUCGGGAGGAAUACCAGUGGCGAAGGCGGCCUUCUGGACUGACACUGACACUGAGGUGCGAAAGCGUGGGUAGCAAACAGGAUUAGAUACCCUAGUAGUC